rnacentral:rRNA from 1 species
AGCAGCCGCGGUAAUUCCAGCUCCAAUAGCGUAUAUUAAAGUUGUUGCAGUUAAAAGCUCGUAGUUGAAUUUCGGGGUUAGUAGGUUGGUCAUGCCUCUGGUAUGUACUGGUCUCACUGGCUCCUCCUUCCUGAUGAACCGUAAUGCCAUUAAUUUGGUGUUGCGGGGAGACUGGACUGUUACUUUGAAAAAUUAGAGUGUUAAAGCAGGCUAACGCUUGAAUACAUUAGCAUGGAAUAAUGAAAUAGGGCGUUCGAUCUUAUUUUGUUGGUUUCUAAGAUUGACGUAAUGAUUAAUAGGGAUAGUUGGGGGCAUUAGUAUUCAAUUGUCAGAGGUGAAAUUCUUGGAUUUAUUGAAGACUAACUACUGCGAAAGCAUUUGCCAAGGAUGUUUUCAUUAAUCAAGAACGAGGUUAGGGGAUCGAAGACGAUCAGAUACCGUCGUAGUCUUAACCAUAAACUAUGCCGACUAGGGAUCGGAUGAUGUUAAUUUUUUAAUGACUCAUUCGGCGCCUUAUCGG